AAAUAAUCCUUUCGUAUAUAUAUAUGAGAUUGAUGAUGAUUGAAGUGACCAAAUUUAAAUUGAACAUUAAUCAGGUUUUUGUCUUUACAGAUUCUCACUGGUGACCGAAUAAAAUUCAUGUAUAAUGUGACAACGAAUGAACAGAAAUUUUUAUCCAAAAUCAUCAUCAUCAUCAUACAUCGAAAUGAAAAUCGAAAGUCAAGUUCAAAGAAAAAAAAAUGAACUAAACGCCAAUAAAAACAAAACGAAACAAAAAAUCCGAACGAACGAUAAGCUCAAAAAAGCCAUGAAGAGAGAGAGAGAGACUGGUUCUUCUCUCACUUUCGUCUUUUGCCAAGUUCAUUAUGAUCUUAUAUAAUUCUUGGCUGGUCAUCAUUUUUAGCCGGUCGUUUGUAUUACGCCACAUCACAUCACAUCACAUCAUUUCAUUUCACUAAAAACGACGAAAAAGAAGAAAAUCGGGAGUCAUCAUCAUCAUCAUCAUCCAUGACUUUGUUAUAUACUCACAUGUGAUUUUUUCAUUUAAUUUUCAUUUCAACAAUUUCGAACAAAAAAAAGUCACUUGGUUAGUUUUUAUUUUUGUUGUUGUUUUUGUUAUAAUUUCUAAUGUUUAUUAAUGUUUUCUAUAUCAUCGACCACACAUUCUAAAUUCAUCAUUUAGAUUUUUUUUUGUUUUUGUUUUGUAUCUCAUUCACCGGUGAUGAUUGGCGCCAAUAAUCAAGAGUUUUUUUUUGUUAUUUUUUUCAAAUAAAUUCUGUUAUGGUCAUCCAUUCCCUCAUUUGAAACAUAUCGAUAUCUAUUAUGAACAUUCGUUUUUUUCGGUUUUGGCGAAAAAAAAAUUAAUUAUAGAAUUUUGACUGAUGAGAAUAACGAUGAUGAUGAUGUGAAAUUAACACUCGACUUGACUUUCAUUUUAUGAGAUUAUCAUAAACAAAACACUGACCAAUGAUGACCACACGCCUUGAAUCUGAAUUUAAUUAAUGGGGAAAAAAAGAAAAGAAAAGAAAAAUCAUUUUCUGGCAGCAUCAUCUAGUAAAUCGGGCGUCCGAAUACCGAAUUUUUUUUCCAAAAUGAAAAAAAAAUUGUCAAACCAUGUCCGAUGUCAAUGGCCAUAAAUGGGGAAAAAAUGAUGAUCAUCAUAAAAAAAUAUACCUAUGACCUGUUACUGCAAUCAAUGGUCAUGUCAAAUAUGAUGAUCAACACUUUAAAAAAAUUCUUUAUGAAUCGGACAUCCGUUCAGGAAAAAGUUCAUUUACAUCCAUCCACAUCAUGAUAAUAAGGACCAGAAAAAAAACUAUUUGUUAUGAUG